rfam:Gossypium raimondii Chr02_contig_34, whole genome shotgun sequence.
UGUUAAAAAUUCCAUCCAUUUGUACUGUUAAAAAACAGGCACGACUAACAAAAAAUCAGACAGUGACAGGUGACAUGCCACGUAUACCUCAUGUUGAUAUACAAAGACCAGUUUUUAACAGCAAAACUGGAUGACAUUUUUAACA